rnacentral:rRNA from 1 species
GAUGAACGCUGGCGGCGUGCUUAACACAUGCAAGUCGAGCGAGAAGUGGAGACGGAAACCUUCGGGCGGAAGACUUUAUUUCGAGUGGCGGACGGGUGAGUAACGCGUGGGUAACCUGCCUCAUACAGGGGGAUAACAGUUGGAAACGACUGUUAAUACCGCAUAAGACCACAGCACCGCAUGGUGCGGGGGUAAAAACUCCGGUGGUAUGAGAUGGACCCGCGUUCGAUUAGCCAGUUGGCGGGAUAACGGCCCACCAAAGCGACGAUCGAUAGCCGAUCUGAGAGGAUGACCGGCCACAUUGGGACUGAGACACGGCCCAAACUCCUACGGGAGGCAGCAGUGGGGAAUAUUGCACAAUGGGGGAAACCCUGAUGCAGCGACGCCGCGUGAGUGAAGAAGUAUUUCGGUAUGUAAAGCUCUAUCAGCAGGGAAGAAAAUGACGGUACCUGAGUAAGAAGCCCCGGCUAACUACGUG